CAUCUCUGAGUAGAGGGCCUGUCUUCAGGUGGCUGCGGAGUCAAGGCUAAAACCUACCACUCUUCACUGCUACCCUGUUCUAAUUACUGCAAAUAGCCCAGGAGAGUGAGAGAAACUAUGAGAAAGACACAAUGAAGUACAUAGUCUUCCCUCAUCUCCAAAAGGAAGAGUUUUAAGAAGAGGCAUAAUGGUCUUAAAGAGAUGUUUCCCAUGUUGCUGUUGGAUAAUGAGUUGUUCAUCUAUUGAACUCAUACGCUUAUUUCCUACUGUAUAAAAACAGAUGCCAUUCCUUCAGCAUAGGAGCAAAGAGAAGCAGAAAAGAACAGGCCUCCAAGACAUGAAAGCCAAACAGGACAAACCAGGACAAAACAAAAUGUCAUCAUAUCGAGGAUGGACAAGAAAACCCAAUAGAAGGAAAGGAGUCUUCAAGAGCAAGCAAAAGAGUCAGAGGCACAACC